AUUCAGCUGCCAUAUUUUUUGUUAAUGUAUUUUGGCCCACAUAAAAUGUUAUAUAAUUACUUAGUCACGUGUCGUCAAUGAAAUGCAAAAUGCAAUCACUGCCGAUGGCCGCUUUACAGGAGUCCGGUAGUUAGAGAUAUGGGAAUGAGACAUGAGCGAUUAUAACUACGGUCAAUCGUUACCAUUACCUACAAUCAAACAUAGUACAAUUGUAGUAAUUAAAUUGUCAACAAAUUUA